rnacentral:rRNA from 1 species
GGUUAAGUGACUAAGCGUACACGGUGGAUGCCUGGGCAGUCAGAGGCGAUGAAGGACGUACUAACUUGCGAUAAGCGCAGAUAAGGCAGUAAGAGCCGUUUGAGUCUGCGAUUUCCGAAUGGGGAAACCCAACUGCAUAAGCAGUUACUGUUAACUGAAUACAUAGGUUAACAGAGCAAACCGGGGGAACUGAAACAUCUAAGUACCCCGAGGAGAAGAAAUCAACCGAGAUUCCGGUAGUAGCGGCGAGCGAACCUGGAUUAGCCCUUAAGCACUCGGUGAAGUAGGUGAACAAGCUGGAAAGCUUGGCGAUACAGGGUGAUAGCCCCGUAACCGACGCUUCAUCGAGCGUGAAAUCGAGUAGGGCGGGACACGUGAUAUCCUGUCUGAAUAUGGGGGGACCAUCCUCCAAGGCUAAAUACUCCUGACUGACCGAUAGUGAACCAGUACCGUGAGGGAAAGGCGAAAAGAACCCCUGUGAGGGGAGUGAAAUAGAACCUGAAACCGUGUACGUACAAGCAGUAGGAGCACCUUCGUGGUGUGACUGCGUACCUUUUGUAUAAUGGGUCAGCGACUUAUAUUCAGUGGCAAGGUUAACCGUAUAGGGGAGCCGUAGCGAAAGCGAGUCUUAACUGGGCGCUCAGUCUCUGGAUAUAGACCCGAAACCGGGUGAUCUAGCCAUGGGCAGGUUGAAGGUUGAGUAACAUCAACUGGAGGACCGAACCGACUAAUGUUGAAAAAUUAGCGGAUGACUUGUGGCUAGGGGUGAAAGGCCAAUCAAACUCGGAGAUAGCUGGUUCUCCCCGAAAGCUAUUUAGGUAGCGCCUCGGACGAAUACUACUGGGGGUAGAGCACUGUUAAGGCUAGGGGGUCAUCCCGACUUACCAACCCUUUGCAAACUCCGAAUACCAGUAAGUACUAUCCGGGAGACACACGGCGGGUGCUAACGUCCGUCGUGGAGAGGGAAACAACCCAGACCGCCAGCUAAGGUCCCAAAGUAUUGCUAAGUGGGAAACGAUGUGGGAAGGCUCAGACAGCUAGGAUGUUGGCUUAGAAGCAGCCAUCAUUUAAAGAAAGCGUAAUAGCUCACUAGUCGAGUCGGCCUGCGCGGAAGAUGUAACGGGGCUAAGCAAUACACCGAAGCUGCGGCAAUAUCUUUUAGAUAUUGGGUAGGGGAGCGUUCUGUAAGCCGUUGAAGGUGGAUCGUAAGGUUUGCUGGAGGUAUCAGAAGUGCGAAUGCUGACAUGAGUAACGACAAAGGGGGUGAAAAACCUCCUCGCCGGAAGACCAAGGGUUCCUGUCCAACGUUAAUCGGGGCAGGGUGAGUCGACCCCUAAGGUGAGGCCGAAAGGCGUAAUCGAUGGGAAACGGGUUAAUAUUCCCGUACUUCUGACUAUUGCGAUGGGGGGACGGAGAAGGCUAGGUGGGCCAGGCGACGGUUGUCCUGGUUCAAGUGCGUAGGCUUGAGAGUUAGGUAAAUCCGGCUCUCUCUAAGGCUGAGACA